UAUCUUAGGGUUCACUUUUAGUGUUGUACAUUCUAUGGGUUUGGACAAAAGUAUAAUGACUUAUAUCCAUCAUUACAACAUCAUAUAGAAUAGUUUAACUGCCCUAAAAAUCCUCUAUGCUCCACCUAUUCAUCCC